rnacentral:rRNA from 1 species
GACAGAGGCCCCGAGCGUUAGGCGGAAUCACUGGGCUUAAAGCGUGUGUAGGCGGAUCGUUAAGUGUCUUGUGAAAUCCCACGGCUCACCCGUGGAACCGCUGGGCAUACUGGCGAUCUUGGGCCGUUCAGGGGCGACUGGAACAAGCGGUGGAGCGGUGAAAUGCGUAGAUAUCGCUUGGAACGCCGAAGGUGAAAACAGGUUGCUGGGGAUGUGCCGACGCUGAGACACGAAAGCCAGGGGAGCAAACGGG